GCAUAUCAAUAAGCGGAGGAAAAAGAAACCAACAGGGAUUGCCUUAGUAACGGCGAGUGAAGCGGCAACAGCUCAAAUUUGAAAUCUGGCCCUUGGGUCCGAAUUGUAAUUUGUAGAGGAUGAUUUUGGUGCGGUAUCUUCCGAGUUCCUUGGAACAGGACGCCUUAGAGGGUGAGAGCCCCGUACGGUUGAAUGCCUAGCCUUUGUAAAUCUCCUUCGACGAGUCGAGUAGUUUGGGAAUGCUGCUCUAAAUGGGAGGUAAAUUUCUUCUAAAGCUAAAUAUUGGCCAGAGACCGAUAGCGCACAAGUAGAGUGAUCGAAAGAUGAAAAGCACUUUGAAAAGAGGGUUAAAUAGCACGUGAAAUUGUUGAAAGGGAAGGAUUUGUGACCAGACUUUUUCUGGGCGGAUCAUCCGGGGUUCUCUCCGGUGCACUUCGCCCAGUAAAGGCCAGCAUCGAUUUUCGGCGGCGGAUAAAAGCAGUGGGAAUGUGGCUCCUUACGGGGAGUGUUAUAGCCCAUUGUAUAAUACGCUGCUGGGGAUCGAGGUACGCGCUUCUGCAAGGAUGCUGGCGUAAUGGUUAUCAAUCACCCGUCUUGAAACACGGACCAAGGAGUCGAACAUUUGUGCGAGUGUUUGGGUGUUAAACCCUCACGCGUAAUGAAAGUGAACGGAGGUGAGAGCCCUUACGGGUGCAUCAUCGACCGAUCCUGAAGUUUUCGGAUGGAUUUGAGUAAGAGCAUAAAUGUUCGGACCCGAAAGAUGGUGAACUAUGCGUGGAUAGGGUGAAGCCAGAGGAAACUCUGGUGGAGGCUCGCAGCGGUUCUGACGUGCAAAUCGAUCGUGCAAAUCUGCGCAU
rnacentral:rRNA from 1 species